AGCGAACGCUGGCGGCAGGCCUAACACAUGCAAGUCGAACGAAGUCUUCGGACUUAGUGGCGGACGGGUGAGUAACACGUGGGAACGUACCUUUUGGUUCGGAACAACCCAGGGAAACUUGAGCUAAUACCGAAUGUGCCCUUCGGGGAAAGGAUUUAUCGCCAUUAGAGCGGCCCGCGUUAGAUUAGCUAGUUGGUGGG
rnacentral:rRNA from 1 species